CCAUAGCCCUGAUAGUAGCGGCAUCCUUUUUUGGCAUUGCGGUGAAAAAUUCUAAGGAUUGCCUUCACUUUCGUUCGCAAUGACAAAAAAGAUAUAGCGGAUAGCGGGAUUAGCU
rnacentral:sRNA from 1 species